rnacentral:rRNA from 1 species
UACGUAGGGGGCAAGCGUUGUCCGGAUUUAUUGGGCGUAAAGAGCGUGUAGGCGGCCUGAAAGGUCAGCUGUGAAAACUCGAGGCUCAACCUCGAGACGUCGGUUGAAACCAUCUGGCUAGAGUCCGGAAGAGGAGUGUGGAAUUCCCGGUGUAGCGGUGAAAUGCGCAGAUAUCGGGAAGAACACCCGUGGCGAAGGCGGCACUCUGGGCAUUAUCUGACGCUGAGGAGCGAAAGUGUGGGGAGCGAACAGG